GUUUUGUGGUGUCAGGUUCUUGAAUGGAGCUUGCAAAACCAAGGUCAAAUCCUUUGGUCAAGAAACUGUAGCAAAUUCUUUGACUCUGAGAGCUCAAAAAAUUUCAGACAUGAAAUGGCUUUAGAUGCUAAUGGGAGGAGACUGUUGGUAACCUCUGGUUCAGUAAGAGCACCCAUAUAUCAGGUUGUUCUCUCUUCUUCAUAUGUGUGUGUUGUGUGUCUUCGUCAUGUACAUUGUACAGUGCUACUUAUAGUGGGAAUGUGGAGUUUUAGUAUUGCCUUUGUAUUGCUCCCCUAUUGCAUUUGUAUUGUCAUCGUAUUGCCAUUGUAGUGUCGAGGUAUUGCCUGGUUAUUGCACUUAUAUUUGUUUCUUAUCACCUGUUUUUUCAAGUCUAUCUUGUGAAGGAACUUAUAAGGAUAUUUUGUAAAAGAAAACGCUUGAUUGUAUUAGUUUAUUUUGUAAAGGAAAAUGUUAGAUCAUUAUUCAUUAUCAUAUAAAUAAGGUAUAACAAGCACCGUAUAUGUAUCUCUUCAA